CAGCCGCCUCGGUAACACGUAGGUGGCAAGCGUUGUCCGAAAUUAUUGGGCGUAAAGGGCUCGCAGGCGGUUUCUUAAGUCUGAUGUGAAAGCCCCCGGCUCAACCGGGGAGGGUCAUUGGAAACUGGGAAACUUGAGUGCAGAAGAGGAGAGUGGAAUUCCACGUGUAGCGGUGAAAUGCGUAGAGAUGUGGAGGAACACCAGUGGCGAAGGCGACUCUCUGGUCUGUAACUGACGCUGAGGAGCGAAAGCGUGGGGAGCGAACAGGAUUAGAGACCCGUGUAGUCCCUGUCUCUUAUAA
rnacentral:rRNA from 1 species